rnacentral:rRNA from 1 species
GAUGAACGCUGGCGGCGUGCCUAAUACAUGCAAGUCGAGCGAACGGACGAGAAGCUUGCUUCUCUGAUGUUAGCGGCGGACGGGUGAGUAACACGUGGAUAACCUACCUAUAAGACUGGGAUAACUUCGGGAAACCGGAGCUAAUACCGGAUAAUAUUUUGAACCGCAUGGUUCAAAAGUGAAAGACGGUCUUGCUGUCACUUAUAGAUGGAUCCGCGCUGCAUUAGCUAGUUGGUAAGGUAACGGCUUACCAAGGCAACGAUGCAUAGCCGACCUGAGAGGGUGAUCGGCCACACUGGAACUGAGACACGGUCCAGACUCCUACGGGAGGCAGCAGUAGGGAAUCUUCCGCAAUGGGCGAAAGCCUGACGGAGCCACGCCGCGUGAGUGAUGAAGGUCUUCGGAUCGUAAAACUCUGUUAUUAGGGAAGAACAUAUGUGUAAGUAACUGUGCACAUCUUGACGGUACCUAAUCAGAAAGCCACGGCUAACUGCGUG